UCCUCUAGUCCGGUUCUAACUUCUCCCCCAGGGAGUGCAGGGAGGUCCUCGGCUCACCUCUCAAUCUGGGCCUGCCCCUGGCCUGCUUGGGGGCCCCCAAGGCUCUCGGAAGCUUUUCACGGGAACAACUUUACAGUCGAAUCUUGCAGGCACACAGUGGGUUUGUUAAUGCACGCAUAGGGCUUUUCUUCAGCCAGGCGGAAGGUCACCGGGUUGGGUUCCACUGAUCCCAGCAGGGGGUCCGCUUGGGGACGGAGCGCUGUGUCACUCCGCUGGAGACCUCCCUUAGAAUUGAGACUGUCAGCCCUUCACCAACCUCCUUAGCCAAACAUUGUUCUUACUUUUGCAGUUGGGGAAAUUGGGCUGUUGUAUUUCAGGAAUGCACUUGAAAAGGAGCCUGGUGAUCCCCGGCCUGGCACGCUGCGGUCCUGCCUGGGCUGGCGUGUGCUGUGCCGGGUAAAGCACGGAAUUACACGGUCACCUAACGUGGCUCAAACCCUGGUCCCAGCUCCUCCUCGCUGUGUGGCCCCAGGCACGUUCUUUAACUCUUCUGAGUCUGCUCGCCUCGUCUCUAAAGUGGGGGUCACAAUGUCCAUCCCGUGGGGUGGGAGGUGAGUGUGAAGCGAGAUUGCACGGAUGGAGCUGGUGGCACGGGGGGCGUUCGCGGCUGUGGAGCUGGUGGCACGGGGUCUGGUGCAGAGGACGUUCACGGCUGUGGAGCUGCUGUCACGUAUGACGUCUCUGUCACACCCAACGGUGACGGGAACCAGGCCCUCCACACCCCGACAUGUGCCGCCCGGAGCUUCUGCCAUGUGUGCCAUGUCCUUCGGCUCCCAGUGGGCCCGGUGGGCCUGCAGUAAUCCUGCAAUGCUGCCUCCUCCUCCCCUUCAAGGCCCUGAGCACAGCGGCUAGAAAUGAGGCCUCCCCUCCUAUCCUCCUAUUCCCCAAGCCAAGCGUCUCCCCACCUGUGGCUGGCCCCUGAGAACUCCCUGACGAGGGACGAGGUGCCUCUCAGCAGUCCCCAGUUUUGGAAAAGUGACAGACGUCCCCAUGGACGCAGCCUGCCCUGUGGCCCUCCCCCGAUCUGCCGGGCGAUUGCUGUGCGCGUCACAUACAAAACCUGGUGGCAGGAAACAGCCGCCUCGUGUUCACCACGGAUGCUGCGGAGCAGACCUCAGACGGGGCCGGCUUCCUCCCAGCCUGUGGCCCCAGCAGAACCAGACUUCCUUCAAGGCAGCUGAGGACUCCAAAAGCCGGUCGGUUCCAGCCACCCAGGUGUAAGGCUGAAGAAAUCACAACAGGAAGCUGUCACGAAGGUAGACAACCCUGGCAUCAACUCUCCGCAUUGCAGGAGGGCAGAGACGCUGCCCCCCAACC